UUACAUUAUAAUAGUUUUGUUUGUGGAAACACCACGUAAAUUUAUUACUGCAGGAGUGAAAUUACGUGGUGUUUCCACAAACAAAACUAUUAUAUUUUAUCACCAUGCAAA